AACCUUAAUGUUAAUGUCAUUUGUCAUACAUGUGAUGGGUGUCAAAUAAAAUUAAUGUUUAUUGAUGGGUAGAUUUGCUCUAAGUUAAUAAAAAAUUAAAAUAUUGUAAGUGAACGUGUGCUAAAAGAAAUUUUACAGCUGAGUAAUUAUAUAAAUGAAAAAAGAAAAAAAUAAUAAUACCCAAUUACAACAAAAGACAUCAACUUAAUUAAAGACAUCAGCCUAAUUAAUACUACAUAAUUUAUACCAAAACGAACUGCAAAUAUUAAGAAUUUUCCUCCUGCUUCGUAUCUCAAAAAAUUCUUGUUGCUUGGUUAGAAUUGCAACUUGUUUUUGAAGAGAAUCAAGAGCAGAAAGUACAAAUGUGCGAAAUGUGGAGAAUUGAGCUGCUAUAUUUGAAGCUGGACUUGAAGUAAGAUUUGAAGCCUGUAGACUUUGUUGGAAUUCUGUCAUCUUCAAGUUAAAAUGUUGAGUUAAUUCUUCAAUUGAGUGCUGGAUUGACUCCAUUUUGUAAUUCGUAUUGAAGAAGAAUCAAAUAACACAAAGGUACACACAGUUUACUUAGUUUUGUACAAAAAAAAAAAUUAAUAAUGAAAUAACUGCUGGUAGGUAUGUUAAGUUUUAGUGCAUUAUGUGUGUUAAAAAUGCAACAAUAUAAUUAAAUUUAAUAAAAACUUGAAGAGCUCUUUAUAAAACGUGUUGACUAUUUUACACCUACCGCCCAAAAAAACCUACCGCCCAAAAAAAUUUUUAUUGAUAAAGACAGUAUUUUACGCGUUGGAGGUCGAUUGACGUAUUCAAAUACGUUCUCAUAUAACAAAAGGCACCCUAUUUUAUUAAGCAGUAAUCAUCACUUCACCAAAUUGUUGUUCCGUUAUGAACACAUAAAAUUAUUACAUGCAGGUCCUCAAGCUUUGUUGU
rnacentral:misc_RNA from 1 species